rnacentral:rRNA from 1 species
AAUAGAUACCCUGGUAGUCCACGCCGUAAACGAUGAGUGCUAAGUGUUAGGGGGUUUCCGCCCCUUAGUGCUGCAGCUAACGCAUUAAGCACUCCGCCUGGGGAGUACGGUCGCAAGACUGAAACUCAAAGGAAUUGACGGGGGCCCGCACAAGCGGUGGAGCAUGUGGUUUAAUUCGAAGCAACGCGAAGAACCUUACCAGGUCUUGACAUCCCGCUGACCGCUAUGGAGACAUAGCCUUCCCUUCGGGGACAGCGGUGACAGGUGGUGCAUGGUUGUCGUCAGCUCGUGUCGUGAGAUGUUGGGUUAAGUCCCGCAACGAGCGCAACCCUUGAGAUUAGUUGCCAUCAUUCAGUUGGGCACUCUAAUCUGACUGCCGGUGAUAAACCGGAGGAAGGUGGGGAUGACGUCAAAUCAUCAUGCCCCUUAUGACCUGGGCUACACACGUGCUACAAUGGACGGUACAAACGGUUGCCAACCCGCGAGGGGGAGCCAAUCCGAUAAAACCGUUCUCAGUUCGGAUUGUAGGCUGC